rnacentral:rRNA from 1 species
GCGUCAAGCCGGAGGAAGGUGGGGACGACGUCAAGUCAUCAUGCCCCUUAUGUCCUGGGCUGCACACGUGCUACAAUGACCGGCACAAUGGGCUGCCACUGCGCGAGCAGGAGCGAAUCCCCAAAGCCGGCCCCAGUUCGGAUUGGAGGCUGCAACCCGCCUCCAUGAAGUCGGAGUUGCUAGUAAUCGCGGAUCAGCACGCCGCGGUGAAUGCGUUCCCGGGCCUUGUACACACCGCCCGUCACACCACCCGAGUCGUCUGCACCCGAAGUCGUCGGCCCAACCCGCAAGGGAGGGAGGCGCCGAAGGUGUGGAGGGUAAGGGGGGUGAAGUCGUAACAAGGUAACCGUA